AAUUGAGGUCCAACGAUAUUUAUGGAUUUUUUUUUUUUAACGUGCGGAUGAUGGGGGUGGAAAUAGUGGGACGUGGUUAGUUACGCUGGGAUUGUGGGAUAUGGGUUGUUACGAUAGUAUCGUAGGAUGUGGGAGUUUUUUUUUUUUUUUUUUUUUGACAAUCGUGGGAUGACAGGUGGGAUUGUAGGAUGAUGGGUGGUUACGAUGGGAUUGUAAGAAUAUUACGAAUUAAUCCUUUCUCUUUGCUCAUAUUAUAUUUUAGUUAAAAUAAUAAAGUAUUAUAUAAUUAAAGCGGAGCAUCUUGUAAAUACAUGAAAGGGAAAGGACUAAUAUGCUAUUUGUAAUACACGUUCGCACCUACGAGAGCGUCCCACUUUUUGUAACCUAUGCAUCUGGUGCAUGGGACCACGUUCAAAAUUUGAACUUAAAUUUUAUCCGUACACCUGGUGCAUAGAUCAUCUCAUACACCAUCUUUUUAUUAUUAUUAUUAUUAUUAUUUUUUUUUCUUUCUUCUUCCUCUUUCAUUCCUCUCUCUUUUUUUUUUAUGCUUCAACACCCGCGUACCGGUACAACCAUCACCGCGUACCGGUACAGCCAUCAAGCCCGUACCGGUACACUGCCCUCUGAAGGCUACCCGA
rnacentral:lncRNA from 1 species